UGGGGAAUAUUGGACAAUGGGCGAAAGCCUGACCCAGCAACGCCGCGUGAAGGAUGAAGUAUUUCGGUAUGUAAACUUCGAAAGAAUAGGAAGAAUAAAUGACGGUACUAUUUAUAAGGUCCGGCUAACUACGUGCCAGCAGCCGCGGUAAUACGUAGGGACCAAGCGUUGUUCGGAUUUACUGGGCGUAAAGGGCGCGUAGGCGGCAAUUCAAGUCAUCUGUGAAAUCUCCGGGCUUAACUCGGAACGGUCAGAUGAUACUGCUUUGCUAGAGUGCAGAAGGGGCAAUUGGAAUUCUUGGUGUAGCGGUGAAAUGCGUAGAGAUGUGGAGGAACACCGAUGGCGAAGGCAGCCCCCUGGGUUAACACUGACGCUCAUGCACGAAAGCGUGGGGAGCAAACAGGAUUAGAUACCCCUGUAGUCCCUGAGCGGGCUGGCAAGGCGCAU
rnacentral:rRNA from 1 species